GAAAAGGUUGUUGGUUAAACAUCACGAAUAAAAGUCAUAAAGAGGGUGAGAUCUUGGCAGAAAAAGUUUGAUCAUAGUGAUAACCAACAAAUUAUGGGUGUAAAUCAGAUGUGGGAAUUAUCUCUAAAACACUGCAGAGGAUAUCAUUAGGUCAGUGUUUCUUCUUAUGCAUCUCUCUGCUGGAAACUAAUGUCAGCCUUCCCUGCUAACGUACAUUUUAACAGCGGUGAGCAAAACCCUCCAGAAAAGAUCAAAAGAUCUCUUCCUGAAAUAAAACCUUGUGGCUUUUUUAGUUUUGACUUUACAAGGGCUUACAGGACUUCCAUGAGCUGGUUUGGGAGGAUCCUGCAGCAGCUUCUCACCAGCUCAGGAAUGGACAGAGAUGGGAUUGGCCAUGAAGAGGUUUGCCUCUAUCUGAUUUUGACUACUCUGCACCACCUUCUGACAGUCUUGGAAGACCAAAACCAAGAUAGAAUCAACACUCCAUGAGUAUUGUACUUACGGGAGGUUUCAGUAAGAUAAACACUUCACAGAUAACUAAAGUUCUAGGGCUUCAGGCCAAGAUAUUUAUUGACUUAGAAGGUACUUAUCUCUUAGUUCACUCCCAUGUACAAAAAAUAAUGAUAGUAAUUACGUUAAAAAACAGAUCACUUUUUAAAUUAUUUAAAAGUGCUCUUCCAGAGUUUAACAGGAUAAUAAUUGCUCCAGCAGCUUUUAUGACCUGUGGGGAAAAAAUUAGCCAGAGGGAAAAGGAAGAUCCCAACCUGCUGUUUGUAUUUCAUUCUUAUUUAUUUAUUUAUUUUUAGCAUGGUAUCUUCAUUUGAAAUACACCAGACAUUUGGGGAGAUGGCCCAAAUGAGUACAAAUUAUUUCUGAGUAUAAGGAAGAUACAAGCUCCUUUAAAAUGAUAAUUGUAUUAAAAUACCCAGAAGAGAGAGAGAUUAGAGAAAUAUCAGACUGUGUACCUAGAUAAAAUUAAGACGUAACUAAAGUUUGUGGCAAUCAGAAUCUCACCAUCUCAGAGAAAUACAGACACCUGAAAAUGUCGUCCCCCCCUCCUGCCCCCCAAUUCCAAAAUAGAACAAAAUAUCACAGUAUGCAAAUUCUUAUGUUAUAUUUUAUGCAUUAUUAAAAUAUUUCAUACUUUUCUCAGCAUUGAUGAGACUACACCUGCGUCCGGUUCUGGACCCUGCAGUACAUGAGAGACAUGGAAAGAGUCGGGCCACAAAAAUGAUUGAAGGGACUGGAGCACCUCUCCUAUGAGGAGGGGCUGAGAGAUCCAGGACUGUUCAGCCUUGAGAAGAGGAGGCUCAGUAGUGAUCUUAUCAAUAUUUUUAAAUACAUGAAGGGAGGGUGCAAAGAAGAUGGAGCUGGGCACAAACUGUAGCACAAGAGGUUCUGCCUAAACAUCAGGAAGCAAGAGAAGCUGUGAGAGUCUCUUCCUUGAAGAUAUAGGAAAGCUUCCUGGACAUGAUCCUGGGCACUCUGCUUGAGCACAGGUUGGAUCAGACAACCUCCAGAGAUCUCUUUCAAUCUUAACCAUUCUUUGAUUCUAAUUUUUCUUUAGCUGCCCCAUAUUGCCAAUGUAAAAUAAAUCUUGUAACAAAGACCGUGUUUGCUUGUCU
rnacentral:lncRNA from 1 species